rnacentral:rRNA from 1 species
UACAGAGGGGGCAAGCGUUGUUCGGAAUUACUGGGCGUAAAGGGCGCGUAGGCGGCCUUCUAAGUCGAACGUGAAAUCCCUGGGCUCAACCCAGGAACUGCGUCCGAUACUGGAAGGCUUGAAUCCGGGAGAGGGAUGCGGAAUUCCAGGUGUAGCGGUGAAAUGCGUAGAUAUCAGGAGGAACACCGGUGGCGAAGGCGGGUCUCUGGGCCGAUACUGACGCUGAGGAGCGAAAGCGUGGGGAGCGAACAGG